AGCAGCCGCGGUAAUUCCAGCUCCAAUAGCGUAUAUUAAAGUUGUUGCAGUUAAAAAGCUCGUAGUUGAAUUUCGGGAUCAAUUUAUUGGUCGUGCUAUUGUACGUACUGGUAUUAUUGAUUCCUACCUUCUGACGAACCAUGAUGUCAUUAAUUUGGUGUCUUGGGGAAUCAGGACUGUUACUUUGAAAAAAUUAGAGUGUUUAAAAGCAGGCUCACGCUUGAAUACAUUAGCAUGGAAUAACGAAAUAGGACGUUUGAUUCUAUUUUGUUGGUUUCUAGGAUCGACGUAAUGAUUAAUAGGGAUAGUUGGGGGCAUUAGUAUUCAAUUGUCAGAGGUGAAAUUCUUGGAUUUAUUGAAGACUAACUACUGCGAAAGCAUUUGCCAAGGAUGUUUUCAUUAAUCAAGAACGAAAGUUAGGGGAUCGAAGACGAUCAGAUACCGUCGUAG
rnacentral:rRNA from 1 species